rnacentral:lncRNA from 1 species
CACUAACACACACUCAAUGCACACACUUACAGACACACACCUUGCAUCCCUUAUGCAUACAAACACAGAUUCACACAAUGCAUCCCUUACACACAACCAGAAACACACAAAACAUCCCUUAUACACAAAUACACACUGCUUCCACUACACACAAACACACUGCAUCACCUGCACAAACUGGUUUCCCUCUACACUACAUACCAUAAGCACACAUAUUAGAUCCUCUACAAUAACACAUAACACAUCCCCUACACACUCCACUCCCUGUGAGCGAAC